rnacentral:tRNA from 1 species
GCCUCGGUAGUCUAAUUGGCUAGGACACUUGCGCGUAAAGCAAAAGGUAUCCGGGUUCGACUCCCGGCCGAGGUA